UUCAACUUGGACCAACUGAGAGUUCAGAAGGACACAAGCAGCAGACUCUGAAGCAGACCAUAUAUGGCCUGCAGGAGGCGCUACAGGAAGCAUCUCAGACACACACCACAGAGGUCUCGCAGCUGCGGCAGACUGUGGAUAGACUGCAGGCUCAGGUGGAGAAAGAUGCUGUGGUCCUACAGCAAAAGGCUCAGGAUGAAAGAAACCUGAGGAAACUCUGCGGUGAGAUGGAGGAGAUAUGGAGGCGGCACACAAACACAGAGCAGAGAAUAAUGAGUUGCGUCGAGAAGUUGCUGAUUUGCGUCGGCUGGUGCAGCAGACACAGGUGGAGGUUCAGGCUUUAAGGGAGGAGCUUGACCAGUCAGGCGUCAAUCAGCAGCCAGUUCCAAAACCUUAGAUGAAAGAAUCAGACUUCUCCGAGAGGUUGAGAAGCUCAAAGCAAAUUUAAUGGAAACUGAGGAAAAUCGUGCUAAGGUCUUGGAGAGGGCGAAACGACAUCAAAGGGUCCAUGCCAUGAACCAGAGUAAAAUGGAGCGAGAACUACAUUUGCUUGACGAUAUGAUUGAAACCGUCAGACAGACAUUGUCCUCUGUACCCGAUCUGGUCAAGAGCUCUCCUGAAUUACAAAAGCUUGUAGAGUUUCUUGGAUAAGUUGCUGAAAGUUAAGAAAUGUGUCAGUUGAAUUUUUUUUAAUGUAAUAGAUUAUCAGUAAACAGUUUAAGCUAAAUAAAGUUCUUUAGGCAUUGUUUCUAGAGAAGUGUUGGCCAAUAAGCUGACUUUGUAAGAUUUGAUUUUAAUGUUGAGUUAGUGUAUUGACACAAUCUGUUUAAAAACAUCACCAUCUUAAUUUAAAGCUUGUACAUGUGUUUUAAACUAUUAGAACUAGUACCAAUAACAAAUAAAUAAAUUCCUCUAAUACCGAUUUAACAGAAA